rnacentral:rRNA from 1 species
AGGGUUUGAUCAUGGCUCAGAUUAAACGCUAGCGGCAUGCCUUACACAUGCAAGUCGAACGGCAGCGGGCUCUUCGGAGUGCCGGCGAGUGGCAAACGGGUGAGUAAUACAUCGGAACAUGCCCAGUAGUGGGGGAUAGCUCGGCGAAAGCCGAAUUAAUACCGCAUACGACCUUCGGGUGAAAGGGGGGGAUCUUCGGACCUCUCGCUAUUGGAGUGGCCGAUGCCUGAUUAGUUUGUUGGUGGGGUAACGGCCUACCAAGACUGCGAUCAGUAGCUGGUCUGAGAGGACGAUCAGCCACACUGGGACUGAGACACGGCCCAGACUCCUACGGGAGGCAGCAGUGGGGAAUCUUGGACAAUGGGCGAAAGCCUGAUCCAGCAAUGCCGCGUGUGCGAUGAAGGCUUUCGGGUUGUAAAGCACUUUUGUCAGGGAAGAAAUGGUUCGGGCCAAUACCUCGAACUUCUGACGGUACCUGAAGAAUAAGCACCGGCUAACUACGUGCCAGCAGCCGCGGUAAUACGUAGGGUGCAAGCGUUAAUCGGAAUUACUGGGCGUAAAGCGUGCGCAGGCGGUUUACUAAGACAGGUGUGAAAUCCCCGGGCUUAACCUGGGAACUGCAUCCAAAACUAACUCACUAGAGUACGAUAGAGGGAGGUAGAAUUCAUAGUGUAGCGGUGGAAUGCGUAGAUAUUAUGAAGAAUACCAGUGGCGAAGGCGGCCUCCUGGAUCUGUACUGACACUAAGGUGCGAAAGCGUGGGUAGCGAACAGGAUUAGAUACCCUGGUAGUCCACGCCGUAAACGAUGACAACUAGCUGUUGGGAGACAAUGUCUUUCAGUGGCGCAGCUAACGUUUUAAGUUGUCCGCCUGGGGAGUACGGCCGCAAGGCUAAAACUCAAAUGAAUUGACGGGGACCCGCACAAGCGGUGGAGCAUGUGGUUUAAUUCGAUGCAACGCGAAAAACCUUACCUACUCUUGACAUACUUGGAAGCUCUUGUAAUGAGAGUGUGCCUUUUGGAGCCAAGAUACAGGUGCUGCAUGGCUGUCGUCAGCUCGUGUCGUGAGAUGUUCCGUUAAGUCGGAUAACGAGCGCAACCCUUACCCUUAUUUGCCAGCGAUUCGGUCGGGAACUAUAAGGGGACUGCCGGUGAUAAACCGGAGGAAGGUGAGGACGACGUCAAGUCAUCAUGGCCCUUACGAGUAGGGCUACACACGUGCUACAAUGGGGAAUACAGACGGACGCUAAGCCGCGAGGUGGUGCUAAUCCUAUAAAGUUCUUCGUAGUCCGGAUUGGAGUCUGCAACUCGACUCCAUGAAGUCGGAAUCGCUAGUAAUCGUGGAUCAGCACGCCACGGUGAAUACGUUCCCGGGCCUUGUACACACCGCCCGUCACACCAUGGGAGUUGGUUUUACCCGAAGACGAUAUCCUAACCUUUUGGAGGGAGUCGGCCACGGUAGGGUCAGCGACUGGGGUGAAGUCGUAACAAGGUAACCGUA